rnacentral:rRNA from 1 species
GAUCCUGCUCAGGAUGAACGCUAGCUACAGGCUUAACACAUGCAAGUCGAGGGGCAGCAUGGUCUUAGCUUGCUAAGGCCGAUGGCGACCGGCGCACGGGUGAGUAACGCGUAUCCAACCUGCCUUACACUCUUGGACAGCCUUCUGAAAGGGAGAUUAAUACAAGAUGUUAUCAUGAGUAAGCAUUUUCGCAUGAUUAAAGGUUUACCGGUGUAAGAUGGGGAUGCGUU